AAAUAUUGUAUCUUUGAUUCUUUGUGGUUGAUUUUCGUGCGGGUAUCUUUGAAAACCCAUGCAAGACCAGAUCGUUUACUAGAUUUCUCCCAAGAUGCAUAUGUGAAACAGAUCAUUUCGAGACUGUGAUCGUCAGUUAGAUAUAUUCUUUUAAAGACUGUGGCUUUGCUGUUUUGUUGUUUGUCGUGUGUUGCUUGUCCUAUAUUCCACUCUCUAGCUGGUGCAAG
rnacentral:lncRNA from 1 species